GGGAAUAUUGGACAAUGGGGGAAACCCUGAUCCAGCGACGCCGCGUGAGUGAAGAAGUAUUUCGGUAUGUAAAGCUCUAUCAGCAGGGAAGAUAAUGACAGUACCUGACUAAGAAGCACCGGCUAAAUACGUGCCAGCAGCCGCGGUAAUACGUAGGGGGCAAGCGUUAUCCGGAUUUACUGGGUGUAAAGGGAGCGUAGACGGUGAAGCAAGUCUGAAGUGAAAGGCGGGGGCUCAACCCCCGGACUGCUUUGGAAACUGUUUGACUGGAGUGCAGGAGAGGUAAGUGGAAUUCCUAGUGUAGCGGUGAAAUGCGUAGAUAUUAGGAGGAACACCAGUGGCGAAGGCGGCCUGCUGGACUGCAACUGACGUUGAGGCUCGAAGGCGUGGGGAGCAAAC
rnacentral:rRNA from 1 species